GCUUACCUACGGGAGGCAGCAGUGGGGAAUAUUGCACAAUGGGGGAAACCCUGAUGCAGCGACGCCGCGUGAGUGAGGAAGUAUUUCGGUAUGUAAAGCUCUAUCAGCAGGGAAGAAAAUGACGGUACCUGACCAAGAAGCCCCGGCUAACUACGUGCCAGCAGCCGCGGUAAUACGUAGGGGGCAAGCGUUAUCCGGAUUUACUGGGUGUAAAGGGUGCGUAGGCGGCUUUGCAAGUCAGAAGUGAAAUCCAUGGGCUUAACCCAUGAACUGCU
rnacentral:rRNA from 1 species